rnacentral:rRNA from 1 species
UACAGCGGGGGCAAGCGUUAUUCGGAAUUAUUGGGCGUAAAGCGCGCGCAGGUGGUUCCUUAAGUCUGAUGUGAAAGCCCACGGCUCAACCGUGGAGGGUCAUUGGAAACUGGGGAACUUGAGUGCAGAAGAGGAAAGUGGAAUUCCAAGUGUAGCGGUGAAAUGCGUAGAGAUUUGGAGGAACACCAGUGGCGAAGGCGACUUUCUGGUCUGUAACUGACACUGAGGCGCGAAAGCGUGGGGAGCAAACAGG